ensembl:lncRNA
CACCAUCCCUGGAGGUGUUCAAGAAGUACCUAGAUGCGCCACUGAGGGACGUGGCAUGGUAGUGGCAGUUCAACUAAAUGUUCUUAGAAGUAUUUUCCAACCUUAAUGAUACUAUGAUUCUAUGUUUCUAUGAUUCCUGGGGAGGGAAUAGCCAGUCUCACCAAACAAAGGAAUUCUACUGUUUCUCCUGUAGCUUCUCCAGCGUAUUUCCCUAAUGGAGAGUUUAGAAAAACCUGACCCCUAGUCAUACCGUGCCACUAAUGCUGCAGCUCCAAGCUUGUGGAACCUGAGGUGGAGCAAGCAAGUGCCAGUAAGUGAAACAUUCCAGGGAAGGAAGAAAUUACCAGAAGAUUGUCCCCAGUAACACUGGAACUAAACUGUGGAUGUGGAAUAUUGUAAGAUUUUGAGGAUUUAUUUGAAACAGACAAACAAAAAUCCUCUACGUCAUGUGGAAGUCCUUCAAAUGGAAAUCCUGCCUUGGUUUGUCUGCAUGCAGCUCUCCUGAAUUCAAUCAAAUUCAUCUGAACUUUUUCAAAUUCCACUGGAGGAGGAGACAGGAGAUAACUCAGGGAAAGCCUAAAAGAGUAGGACCUGUCAUGCAGCCUCCUUAACUAUGUCGUUCCUAACUGCAUUUGUUACAGUCUUAGCCAUGAUCUUGCCCAAUCCCAGCUGCGUACACCUGUGUGCUCACUUAGAGCCCGUUUUUUGCACCUAUGUGAAGCCUACUCAGAUUUUGAAUACGUAUGAGUUUUGCAACAAUUUACAUUUUCUGUAUUGGUGUAACUUUAGAUAUUUAGUUUCAGCUCUGGCUCAACAUAGUACAUCAGACGUUUUAAAGAUAUAUUUUUUUUUUCCAUAAGAGGAAAAGUAAUUUUAAAGUUGGGUAAAGACAAGGGGAGGUAAGGUGAUAUGGGCCGGUUUGUUUAGCAAUAGGGAUCUGUUUAUUAGUUUAAGGACCAACAUAUUAGUUUAGCAAAAGGAAUCAAUGAAUGCUAAUUCUAAAACUUUCCUUUUCGCUUUUCUUGGUGUGUGAGCAGCCCUGUUUUCUCUUAAUUCUGCUUCACAAGAAGCACCAGAGACAUAAUAGACUGCUUAUCUUUGCAUUUCAUGAGGUGCUAGGAUGUUUUCCUCAUAUUUUCACAUAUAUGGUUUUGGAAAUUGCUGAUUAUGGGUUAACAACCAAUAGAAAUGUGCCAAACAGGGGAAAAACGGCUGAAGGUCAGCUAAAAGUCUCAAUGAUGAAGCUGAUGGUGGAAAAGUGGGGAUAAAGUAAGUGGGCAUAUGACCACCCUAAAUGCAACCAUGCAUGCCCAGAGGGAUAUUAGCAUAUGUUAAUGUGUUCUUGGAAAAGAAUGAAUACGUAUGUCAGUGUACUGCAUAUGCAUGUCUUAACUAUUUAACUGUAGAACCUGAACUCUGAGAGAGUGCGCUUGUUCGUCAAGUUGUCCAAUUCAUAUCAUGAGGAAUAAAGGAAAGGCACUUUCUAACACUACAUUGGAGUUAGAGGGUUUUCUUCCCAGAUAUUGGAUGACAAGGUAUCUACCUUGAGGAAAGAUAUUAUGAAGACCUACUUACAGAUGCUCUAGUUUUUUGGCCAUAUUUUGAUAAUUAGCAUGGAAACCAUGGACCUGAUUUGAGCUAAGCUGUUUGAUCACGUUUUGGAUGACAAGCUGCCCUUUAGCUUGUGUAAAUACGUGAUAUAACUCAUCACCAUUUUCAGUAUAAACCAGCAAGUUCAUCUAAACAUAUCAGUUUUGGUGAAGCCAAAUGUCUUUAUUGCCUAGGGUGAUUUUUUUUAAACUUAUUUCUAAAACUGUGGGAUUUCCAAUUAAAAAAAAAAAUCCCAAAUGUAUUUAUGAAUAAAAAAGGAUAAACACAGUGAUUGCGGAUGCACAUUUUAAUUAACUGGAAAAUCUCUUCUUCUUUUUGUUGAUCCCCUAUUUCCUUCUUUUCCAAGGCUCAUGUGUGAUGAUUGUAGAAAGAUGAAUAAUGUUUUAGUCAUACAACCUUCAUUAAAGCUAUUGAAAAUGUGCUGUUAAUUCCCUGAGUUCAACUUUGAAAACACGAAAGUUACUGUUUAUCCCUGUAUCUAAG